AAUCAACGCUGGCGGCGUGCCUCAGACAUGCAAGUCGAACGCGAAAGCUUCCUUCGGGGGGCAAGUAGAGUGGCGCACGGGUGAGUAACACGUAGGUAAUCUACCUUUGGAUUGGGAAUAACCACCGGAAACGGUGGCUAAUACCGAAUAAUGCAGCGGCACCUAAUGGUGACAGUUGUUAAAGCGGGGGAUCGCAAGACCUCGCGUCUAAAGAGGAGCCUGCGGCGGAUUAGCUAGUUGGUAGGGUAACGGCUUACCAAGGCGAUGAUCCGUAGCCGGCCUGAGAGGGCGGUCGGCCACACUGACACUGACAUACGGGUCAGACUCCUACGGGAGGCAGCAGUCGGGAAUUUUGGGCAAUGGGCGAAAGCCUGACCCAGCAACGCCGCGUGAAGGAUGAAAUCCCUCGGGAUGUAAACUUCGCAAGAACGGGAAGAAUAAGCCGGUGUCAACACCACCGGCGAUGACGGUACUGUUUGUAAGCUCCGGCUAACUCCGUGCCAGCAGCCGCGGUAAUAC
rnacentral:rRNA from 1 species